rnacentral:misc_RNA from 1 species
GAUGAAGAACGCAGCGAAAUGCGAUAAGUAGUGUGAAUUGCAGAAUUCAGUGAAUCAUCGAAUCUUUGAACGCACAUUGCGCCCCUUGGUAUCCCGAGGGGCAUGCCUGUUCGAGCGUCAUUUCACCACUCAAGCCUGGCUUGGUGUUGGGCGACGUCCCCUUUGGGGACGCGCCUCGAAACGCUCGGCGGCGUGGCACCGGCUUUAAGCGUAGCAGAAUCUUUCGCUUUGGAAGUCGGGGCCCCGUCUGCCGGAAGACCUACUCGCAAGGUUGACCUCGGAUCAGGCAGGGAUACCCGCUGAACUUAAGCAUAUCAAAACGGAGGA